GAUGAAGAACGCAGCGAAAUGCGAUACUUGGUGUGAAUAGCAGAAUCCCGUGAACCAUCGAGUCUUUGAACGCAAGUUGCGCCUCAAGCCAUUAGGUUGAGGGCACGUCUGCCUGGGCGUCACAUAUCGUUGCCUGAUGCCAGUUUCCUCGUGAUGGGUGACUGUGCAGGGCGAAUGAUGGCUUCCCGUGAGCAUUGUUGCCUCAUGGUUGGUUGAAAAUUGAGUCCUUGGUAGGGAGCGCCGUGAUAGAUGGUGGUUGAGUGACGAACGAGACCCAAUCAUGUGAGACCCCUACCGAAUUUGGCCUUCAUGACCCACAUGCGUCUUUGGAACGCUCAUGACGAGACCUCAGGUCAGGCGGGGCUACCCGCUGAGUUUAAGCAUAUCAAUAAGCGGAGGA
rnacentral:misc_RNA from 1 species